rnacentral:lncRNA from 1 species
CAAGGACCCUUCUCAAAUGAAAGAUUUACAAUUUUGCACCAUAAACCUGGAACUAUCGAGACUCUGAGAAAGGGAUUUCUGUGUUUCCAGUUGUGUGCAGGUGAUACGUAUUAUGUGGAGUGGAAUUAUGAACUUGCUACUGUCUUUAUUUGGAGGGUAAGUAUGAUUUGAGGGGAUGUGUUUGGCUAGCCAGUUGACAAGGGAUGGGAUGUGGUAGUUACGGUAGAGUUUCAGAUCUAUUAGUUUUGGGAUUUCCCCGGGGAAUGUUGCAGCGCACUUCUAGGCACGUCUGGGUGGGCUAUAGAGGUGUGGCCUUGGGUGCUGUAUCUGGUCUCUGGCCCUUCUGCUCUGUUCUUUUCUUAUACUCUGCUUCCUGGCCACCAUGAGCCAAGCAAGCUUUGCUCUGCCCCGCCCUUCCACUGUGAUGUCAUUGCUUUGGAGCCAGCCAAACAAGGACUGGAAUCUCAAGCAAGUUAAUACUCAUUUAUGUUGUGGGUGUCGGGUAUUGUGAGCAGUGACAGGAAAGUGACAAAUAUACAGGGUUCUGACAGGAUCUAGCCUAGGUGUCACAUAUGCAUAAUAUUUUUGCAGUCCAGAGUUAUGUGUGACAGCUAUUGCCUUCUUCCUCCAAGACACAAUGGAGAGAAGUGUGAGGGUGCAUGUGAUGACCUCUGCCCCUGGGAGCUGGUGCUCAGGAGGGGGACGCCGGCUGGAGCAGCGCCAGCUGGAGGUGUGAUGUGUGACCCGGCAUACGGUGACACGAGGAGCUGCUCUGAGCAUCACAAGGUCCUCGGCUUCAUCUCUUUCCUGGUGACACUUAUCCUGCAGGUGGCCUCCUCCAGUUCUGGUGUAAAUUCUUGGGCCACUGACUUCACAACGUGUGUCUACCCCACGCCUGUCGCUUAACUCCAUUAUGUGCAUGCACUGUCCACAUACACACACAAGGAAUGUAAAUAUUACAUUCUGUAAAUGUGCACUAAUAAAAAAAAUCAGUAAGAAGAACAGGAACUCGAUAGAUGGGGCCGUUUAAUUUGGUUUGUUUUUGUCAGUCUUCUACUCCUUGCCACUCUACGCUGGGAGUGGGCAUGAAAUCAGUCAGACCAACACCUGCCCUCAAGACAUUUCCUACAAGGGAUUACAGUGGUCCUCUGGGUGCAGGUGACUGCAGAAGGACAAACCUCUGGCAGGAGGGGACCAAAGACACACAUGGUUCAGUCUGGAAGAGCAGGUUAUCAUAUUCAUUACCAUGGGUAAUCUAGGUGGCUGGAAGUAUGGGGCAGAAAUGGGUAGAUUCUACGUAACUCCUGUGCCACUGUAUAUAAGGGACUUGGACGUAACACCUGCAAUGGAAGAGACUAAAGGUUCUCUGGGAGAAG